GGUGUAUGAGAAUACAAGCGUCGAUGCAAAACCAGAAACAAGUACCUACGAAGACAUGACAGAGACGCCUCCUAUACCAUACGAGUCCAUCAGCGCUUCUCCAUACCAGAACAGCGGCUCUCAACCUCAAGGUACCCACAACUGAGAUCCUCACUAUAGGAAUGCGUGAAGAAACACCAAAGGUGACGGACACUAUGUCACGGGAUAGUAAUACACAGCCUGUGAACUGAUAGGUUUCUUAGCUCUCAUGUAGUGUGUUUUAAUGUCAUCAUUUGCUCGUUACCUCAUAGUAUUCCCCUAUGUUAUUUCCCAGUAGUAUGUACAUUAUAGUAAAUAAACCCAGAACAUAA